rnacentral:lncRNA from 1 species
AUAUGCCUCGGUUUUCAUAAAAUCGAAACAUAUUAAAACACGGUGGCAUUUUUGUAAUAAAGACGAACUUAUACAUCUCAGUUUAGUGGGAUCCGAAGCCUAUGCACUCUACUGCUUCGGUUAUUUACGAAACCGAAGCAUAAAACCCUUUGCGAGGCCCUACUGCUUCGGCCUUUUACGAACCAAAGCCCACCCAACCUUAUUUCAUUUCUCUCAAUUUGUCUUCUUCGCGUCUACAUUCUUUCUUCAGAGAACUUCAUUUCUCUUCAACCACAUCUCGCGCCUCAGGGUAUUUCUUCUUCUUCACCGAAUCAUCAUCGUCUUCAUUAAUUUAUGCGUCUCCUGCAACACCAAACCUCAUACUCUGUUAGGGUUUCUCUUUCAUUUCGCCUUUCCCUUUGUUUUCACUGAUUAAAAUCCAUUUUCCACCAUUUCCACGAUUAAACACCAUUCUAUCGACUAAUUCUUCGAUUAGCGCCAUUCUCACCGUUCAAUCUCCAUUUCACACCGAUUAAUCGAUUCAUUUUAUGUUUUCCCCCUUUUCUAGGGUUCCAACGGUUCAUUUUAGGGUUCUUCGUGUUUCUAGGGUUUUCUACUGUCGAAACCCUAACUUCUUGUGUUCUAGUGAGUUCGAUCUCACUUUUGUGUCCGGUUAGGGCUUUCACUGUUCUUCUUCGCUCUUCGAUCCAUUUUAAGGUUCUUUGAGUUUUUGUCAAAUUCCGC